UUCAUGUUUUGGUCUCCGGCUCCUUGUGUUUAGUUUGUUUGUUAUUUUUCCUGUUUUACUUUGGAGGUGCAUGUCUUAUGUUAAUGUAUCUGGUUUUGCUUCCCCUGUUUCGUUAGCCCUGAUUUGCCCCAGCUGUGUUUCCCUCCUGUUACCCAUUCCCUGAUUGCUCCCUCUGUGUAUUUAAGCCCUGUGUUUUUCUGUGUCCGUGUCGUGAUCUACCCUUAUCCACCCUCUUCUUCCUGUGUGUUCUGUCUGCUUGUGAACUCAAGGAAAACAGUCUGUUCCAGUCCAGCUCUCUCUCUCCCCGCUCGACUCUGGCUUCACUAUAUAGAGAAAUAGAAAGAGACUCCAUCAUCAGUCAAUCACCACCACCUGUGCUCACCUGCUUCCCGUGGAACCAUGCUGAAGGUAUUUCUGCUUGGAUGCUUCCUAUGCCUCACUCCAGUUCAACCAAUUGUCAAUGUGUAUGAAAAGUAUGGUGGCUCUCACCACGGCUGAUAUGAGAUCACCAACAACAACAAUAUUUCCCUGCAGCAACUUCUCUCUGUCCUCCUACAAGCACCUGCUAAAACCACUACAACAGCUGCACCCACUACAACUCCCUGAAAUCUG
ensembl:lncRNA